rnacentral:tRNA from 1 species
AUUAGUGUGGCAGAGACAGGGUAUUGCAGAAGGCCUAAGCCCUCCCCACGGAAGUUCAAGUCUUCCCUCUAAUU